AUGUGUUGUGUUUGGGUUCAACCUCCCACCUCCCACGAAGGGAUAACCCCCCAGUACCCACCUCCACGUUAUCUGCGCCUCCUCUCUCCAAAUAUUACAAGGCAAAAAGAAAAGAAAAGCAACUCACAGCCGAGCAUGUAAAACAAAGCUAAUCCCCUGAUUCCCCUUUCUCACACCAGAGCGCCGCCGCCGCCGACGCCGAUCCCGGGAAGCUCCGGCGCACUCCCACCCCACUGCUCACUACCUGCCCCCACUCCCUCAAUAUUCUCCUCCGAUCCCCCCACCCCACCCCACCCGCCCUUCGCCCCGCUGCACGCGGCCCCGCAACAAGCCUAGUCGCCACGCGCCGCCGGCGCGGCUUCGGCGGCUCCGGGUUGUCGGCCCAGUACACCUGCAUCUCCUCACGCGUGAUGGUGGUGCUCCGCCUCUUCUACCUCGACUCCGACGUUGAUGGUACUCCGCCUAGGGUUUCUGCACCGUGUUACUCCGUCGAGUAUGAGUGGAGAACACCGUGAUGCGAGUGAUUUCUCUCAAUAAUUUUCUUAGUCAGAUCGAUCUACAACACAUACGCAUUGCAAUUAUGAGAAAGCCAUCAAUAUGCAGAUGAAGCCUUAAGAAUUAUUUAAGUCAUUGUAAUUAUAUAUAUCAUGGUGAGGGCCCUUCCGCUGGUAAGGAAAACUUAGAUUUUUUGCGUAUUAUAUAUUUUUUGAUUGAUGUAACAUUUGUUUUCCCCUGACAAAAAGUAAUGUUUGUUUCAUGUUCUUAUUCAGUAAAAAUGUGCACAACACAAUCUCAAAUUUUAUGCAAAAGCUCAGAUGGCAAUAGUUCUUACACUCAUGUUAUCCAAUAUAAACUGUUGAAUGAUUGAUACAAUUUGAAGGUGAGAUACAAGAACAUCAUAACAUUGAUAUUCUCGUCGUAUGUAUAUGACUACUAUAUAUUCUCGAAAUCUCACCUCUAAACUGAGUUUAGUGCAAUUUUUUAAUUUUUUGAAAUACAGGUACUUCUCAAUUUUUGUACUAAUUUUCUAUUUUGGGGAAAGCCACAUAUGUUUCCAACAAUAGAAUGAUGUGUGAUGGUCAUCACACAAACUCCUGGCCAGAUGCCUCUCACAUCUUAUCUUGUUUGUAAUAUAUUCUCCUUAAACUGUUUAACACAAUGAGCAUGUAGAUGUAGUUGGUUCAUCAACGUAAACAUCAAAAGUAUUCCUCUUAUGCAGUCUGCUUCCCUGACAUGCAGGGCACACUAAGGUGGUGGGAAGAUACAUACAACCGUUAACCUGACGGCUAAGCGAUCAGAUGCGGCGAUUGUGUGAGUGUGUCAGGUUACAGAAACUUGAUUGUUCCAAGACAAUGUUGUUGGCACUAAAACCUAAAAGACUACUGGUGCCAAGCUGGAUUUGCUAGGAGAUUGCAAGAUAAAUCGGUGAUGCAUGGUCAGAUGUUGAUUGCAAGGUCAAGAACAUGGGUGCUACUAGAUAGUUUCACAUUGUGUUUCAGAAUGUCAUUUUCAUUGUCGAUGUGUCAAUCAUUAUGAUUCAGGCAUUUUCAGUGUCAAUGUUUAGAUCAUUAUGUUUCAAAAUGGCUGAGACGUUGGUUGCAAGAUCAAGAAUAGGACCAGUACUAGUUUCACAUCUUGUAAUCUUUGUAUCCAGAUCCUUGUAAUGCAACCAAGUUGAUUUAAUAUAUGAGACAGUUCUGUUUGUUA